rnacentral:rRNA from 1 species
GAUGAACGCUGGCGGCGUGCCUAAUACAUGCAAGUCGAGCGAACAGAUGAGGAGCUUGCUCCUCUGACGUUAGCGGCGGACGGGUGAGUAACACGUGGAUCACCUACCUAUAAGACUGGGAUAACUUCGGGAAACCGGAGCUAAUACCGGAUAAUAUAUUGAACCGCAUGGUUCAAUAGUGAAAGACGGUUUUGCUGUCACUUAUAGAUGGAUCCGCGCCGCAUUAGCUAGUUGGUAAGGUAACGGCUUACCAAGGCGACGAUGCGUAGCCGACCUGAGAGGGUGAUCGGCCACACGGGAACUGAGACAGGGUCCAGACUCCUACGGGAGGCAGCAGUAGGGAAUCUUCCGCAACAGUCGAAAGCCUGACGGAGCAACGCCGCGUGAGUGAUGAAGAUCUUCGGAUCGUAAAACUCUGUUAUUAGGGAAGAACAAAUGUGUAAGUAACUAUGCACGUCUUGACGGUACCUAAUCAGAAAGCCACGGCUAACUACGUG